rnacentral:rRNA from 1 species
GGGGGGGCAGGCCUAUACAUGCAAGUCGAACGAAUCAGGAGGACUUCGGUUCAUCUGGUUAGUGGCGCACGGGUGCGUAACGCGUAUGCAACCUACCUUCCACUGGGGGAUAGCCCGGGGAAACCCGGAUUAAUACCGCAUAUGACCACCGAGAGGGCAUCCGAUCGUGGUAAAAGCUGAGGCGGUGGAAGAUGGGCAUGCGUGCCAUUAGCUAGUUGGCGGGGUAAGGGCCCACCAAGGCGACGAUGGCUAGGGGUUCUGAGAGGAUGGUCCCCCACACUGGUACUGAGACACGGACCAGACUCCUACGGGAGGCAGCAGUAGGGAAUAUUGGGCAAUGGCCGAGAGGCUGACCCAGCCAUGCCGCGUGCAGGAAGAAGGCCUUCUGGGUUGUAAACUGCUUUUGUAUGGGAAGAAAACGCCCCUGCGGGGGUAACUGACGGUACCAUACGAAUAAGCACCGGCUAACUCCGUGCCAGCAGCCGCGGUAAUACGGAGGGUGCAAGCGUUGUCCGGAUUUAUUGGGUUUAAAGGGUGCGUAGGCGGCCCGUUAAGUCAGCGGUGAAAUCCCACGGCUCAACCGUGGAACUGCCGUUGAUACUGGCGGGCUUGAGUUCGGUCGAGGCGGGCGGAACUGGCGGUGUAGCGGUGAAAUGCUUAGAUACCGCCAAGAACCCCGAUUGCGUAGGCAGCUCGCUGGGCCGAAACUGACGCUGAGGCACGAAAGCGUGGGGAGCGAACAGGAUUACAUACCCUGGUAGUCCACGCCGUAAACGAUGAUGACUCGAUGUUGGCGAUACACUGUCAGCGUCCAAGCGAAAGCGUUAAGUCAUCCACCUGGGGAGUACGCCCGCAAGGGUGAAACUCAGAGGAAUUGACGGAGCCCCGCACAACCGCUGAAGCAUGUGGUUUAAUUCGAUGAUACGCGAGGAACCUUACCUAGGCUAGAAUGCGCGUGACAGCUCCGCAAAUGGAGCCUCCCUUCUCCGCACGAAGCAAGGUGCUGCAUGCCUGUCGUCUGUUCUUCCCGUGAGGUGUUGGGUUAUUUCCCUCACCGACCGCAUCCCCUACCUUUACUUGCCAG